rnacentral:rRNA from 1 species
UACGUAGGGUGCAAGCGUUGUCCGGAAUUAUUGGGCGUAAAGAGCUCGUAGGCGGUUUGUCGCGUCGAAUGUGAAAACCCGGGGCUCAACCCCGGGCCUGCAUUCGAUACGGGCAGACUAGAGUUCGGUAGGGGAGUCUGGAAUUCCUGGUGUAGCGGUGAAAUGCGCAGAUAUCAGGAGGAACACCGGUGGCGAAGGCGGCUCUCUGGACCGGUACUGACGCUGAGACGCGAAAGCUAGGGGAGCAAACGGG